GAUGAACGCUGGCGGCGUGCCUAAUACAUGCAAGUCGAGCGAACAGACGGGUAGCUUGCUCCUCUGACGUUAGCGGCGGACGGGUGAGUAACACGUGGAUAACCUACCUAUAAGACUGGGAUAACUUCUGGAAACCGGAGCUAAUACCGGAUAAUAUAUUGAACCUCAUGGUUCAAUAGUGAAAGACGGUUUUGCUGUCACUUAUAGAUGGAUCCGCGCCGCAUUAGCUAGUUGGUAAGGUAACGGCUUACCAAGGCAACGAUGCGUAGCCGACCUGAGAGGGUGAUCGGCCACACUGGAACUGAGACACGGUCCAGACUCCUACGGGAGGCAGCAGUAGGGAAUCUUCCGAAAUGGGCGAAAGCAUGACGGAGCAACGCCGCGUGAGUGAUGAAGGUCUUCGGAUCGUAAAACUCUGUUAUUAGGGAAGAACAAAUGUGUAAGUAACUAUGCACGUAUUGACGGUACCUAAUCAGAAAGCCACGGCUAACUACGUG
rnacentral:rRNA from 1 species